UUUGAAAUCUAGUACCUUCGGUGCUCGAGUUGUAAUUUGUAGAGGGAUACUUUGGGGCCGUUCCUUGUCUAUGUUCCUUGGAACAGGACGUCAUAGAGGGUGAGAAUCCCGUGUGGCGAGGAGUGCGGUUCUAUGUAAAGUGCCUUCGAAGAGUCGAGUUGUUUGGGAAUGCAGCUCUAAGUGGGUGGUAAAUUCCAUCUAAAGCUAAAUAUUGGCGAGAGACCGAUAGCGAACAAGUACAGUGAUGGAAAGAUGAAAAGAACUUUGAAAAGAGAGUGAAAAAGUACGUGAAAUUGUUGAAAGGGAAGGGCAUUUGAUCAGACAUGGUGUUUUGCGCCCUCUGCUCCUUGUGGGUGGGGGACUCUCGCAGCUCACUGGGCCAACAUCAUUUUUGGUGGUCGGACAAAUCCGUAGGAAUGUAGCUUACCUCGGUAAGUGUUAUAGCCUGCGGGAAUACGGCCAGCCGGGACUGAGGACUGCGAC
rnacentral:rRNA from 1 species